UGGGGAAUAUUGCACAAUGGGCGCAAGCCUGAUGCAGCCAUGCCGCGUGUGUGAAGAAGGCCUUCGGGUUGUAAAGCACUUUCAGCGAGGAGGAAGGUGGUGAGCUUAAUACGCUCAUCAAUUGACGUUACUCGCAGAAGAAGCACCGGCUAACUCCGUGCCAGCAGCCGCGGUAAUACGGAGGGUGCAAGCGUUAAUCGGAAUUACUGGGCGUAAAGCGCACGCAGGCGGUUUGUUAAGUCAGAUGUGAAAUUCCCCGGGCUCAACCUGGGAACUGCAUUUGAAACUGGCAAGCUAGAGUCUCGUAGAGGGGGUGAGAAUUACCAGGUGUAGCGGUGAAAUGCGUAGAGAUCUGGAGGAAUACCGGUGGCGAAGGCGGCCCCCUGGACGAAGACUGACGCUCAGGUGCGAAAGCGUGGGGAGCAAACAGAUUAGAUACCCUGGUAGUCCACGCUGUAAAACGAUGUCGAUUUUGGAGGUUGUGCCCCUUGAGGCGUGGNUUCCGGAGCUAACGCGUUAAAUCGACCGCCUGGGGAGUACGGCCNCAAGGUUAAAACUUAAAUGAAUUGCGGGUCUAGCUGUUCC
rnacentral:rRNA from 1 species